GACGAACGCUGGCGGCGUGCUUAACACAUGCAAGUCGAACGGAAAGGCCCUGCUUUUGUGGGGUGCUCGAGUGGCGAACGGGUGAGUAACACGUGAGUAACCUGCCCUUGACUUUGGGAUAACUUCAGGAAACUGGGGCUAAUACCGGAUAGGAGCUCCUGCUGCAUGGUGGGGGUUGGAAAGUUUCGGCGGUUGGGGAUGGACUCGCGGCUUAUCAGCUUGUUGGUGGGGUAGUGGCUUACCAAGGCUUUGACGGGUAGCCGGCCUGAGAGGGUGACCGGCCACAUUGGGACUGAGAUACGGCCCAGACUCCUACGGGAGGCAGCAGUGGGGAAUAUUGCACAAUGGGCGGAAGCCUGAUGCAGCAACGCCGCGUGCGGGAUGACGGCCUUCGGGUUGUAAACCGCUUUCGCCUGUGACGAAGCGUGAGUGACGGUAAUGGGUAAAGAAGCACCGGCUAACUACGUGCCAGCAGCCGCGGUGAUACGUAGGGUGCGAGCGUUGUCCGGAUUUAUUGGGCGUAAAGGGCUCGUAGGUGGUUGAUCGCGUCGGAAGUGUAAUCUUGGGGCUUAACCCUGAGCGUGCUUUCGAUACGGGUUGACUUGAGGAAGGUAGGGGAGAAUGGAAUUCCCGGUGGAGCGGUGGAAUGCGCAGAUAUCAGGAGGAACACCAGUGGCGAAGGCGGUUCUCUGGGCCUUUCCUGACGCUGAGGAGCGGAAGCGUGGGGAGCGAACAGGCUUAGAUACCCUGGUAGUCCACGCUGUAAACGGUGGGUACUAGGUGUGGGGUCCAUUCCACGGGUUCCGUGCCGUAGCUAACGCUUUAAGUACCCCGCCUGGGGAGUACGGCCGCAAGGCUAAAACUCAAAGGAAUUGACGGGGCCCCGCACAAGCGGCGGAGCAUGCGGAUUAAUUCGAUGCAACGCGUAGAACCUUACCUGGGUUUGACAUGGAUCGGGAGUGCUCAGAGAUGGGUGUGCCUCUUUUGGGGUCGGUUCACAGGUGGUGCAUGGCUGUCGUCAGCUCGUGUCGUGAGAUGUUGGGUUAAGUCCCGCAACGAGCGCAACCCUUGUUCACUGUUGCCAGCACGUUAUGGUGGGGACUCAGUGGAGACCGCCGGGGUCAACUCGGAGGAAGGUGGGGAUGACGUCAAGUCAUCAUGCCCCUUAUGUCCAGGGCUUCACGCAUGCUACAAUGGCUGGUACAGAGAGUGGCGAGCCUGUGAGGGUGAGCGAAUCUCGGAAAGCCGGUCUCAGUUCGGAUUGGGGUCUGCAACUCGACCUCAUGAAGUCGGAGUCGCUAGUAAUCGCAGAUCAGCAACGCUGCGGUGAAUACGUUCCCGGG
rnacentral:rRNA from 1 species